UUUUUUUUUUUGUUUGUUUGAGACAGGGUCUCACUCUGUCAUCCAGGCUGGAGUGCGGUGGCCGACCUCGGCUCACUGCAACCUCUACCUCCCAGGCUCAAGCAAUCUUCCCACCUCAACCUCUGGAGUAGCUGGGAUCACAGGCAUACACCAACACGACCGGCUAAUGUUUUUGCAUUUUUGUUAGAGAUGGGGUUUCACCAUAUUGCCCACGCUGGUCUCCAACUCCUGAACUCAAGCGAUCUGCCUGCCUCCGCCUCCCACAGUGCUGGGAUUAUAGGCAUGAGCCACUGCUCCCAGCCAAAAACCAAAGGAGACUGAUAAUCCAUUCUUGACACAAAAGCCUCAAGCCUCAAGGGUGCCAAAAAUCAGCACUCACAGUCAUGUAACGAUGGCCAUGAAAAUUAAGAGCAGGUUUCCCCCUCCCACUUGCCCAGAGACUUAGGGUCACCACAAGGUCUGAAUAGACCAGACAUCAUCAAGCCAGGCCCUAGUGACUUGUUUCUCUCCAGACAGACCAGGCUGGCUUCAGCCAGCAUGGGUAAUGCCUGUUUUCAGUUCCUGCCCACCAAUAACAACAGCAGCAAACCAACGCCGACCCUUUUCUAAGCACCUACUACGUGCUGGGGCUUUAUGUGCAUCAUCUCAUUUCGUUCUUAAAACGAUCACAGGAAGAAAGUACUUUCAUCACCCCCAUUUUAUAGAUGGGAGCAUCAAGGCACAGACAGGAAAAGGCAGCGCUAGGAUUCAAAUGCAGCUCCAGGGUUCUCCACUGCGUCCUGUUAGACCUCAAGCUCCCUGCCCUGACAAAGAAUGGGAUCCGGGUCAUUACUUCCUCAGAGUGAGCCCCUUUUUCCUUCCUUCCUUAAGCUCUGAGAGGUUGCGCCAGGUGCCUUUGCUCCUGGCGUCUCCUGCUGGAAGCUGCGUGUAUGCACAGCCAUGCCCAUUGCUCAGGGAGGAGCUCAUCUGAGGCUUCUAAAUAGGGGAAAGGCAGAGAAGCCUCCACGUUCCAAGAUCUCUAGAAUCUGCCCCAGAAAAUUCCUUAACUUUCAGUUUGCCUCUCUCAAAGGCCAGUCCUAUUGUCCCAUCCCAUCAGGGCCUCUUCACUUGUCACCUAGAGCACAGCCUCCCACCUGCUCUCAGAAUCCCUGAAACCCAUUCUCACCAACACUCAGGGGUUCCUCCCUUUCAUGGCUCUCUCCUUCCACAGAACCCAGUCGAAUGCUCUGUGGCCUGGCACUGAAGGCCCCCACGGCUUAGCCCCAGACUAUUUUCUUGGUCUUAUACCCAAAAUCUCCUCCUACAAUUUACCCCACAUGCCCCCUGAGCUUCCACACUCCCCUCACUUGGCUGAGCUCUGCCUCCUGCCAGGAACGUCCUUCCCCUACCUCUGCUUGUCAAACUCCUACCUGUUCUUCAAAGGGGAGCUCAAAGGCCACCUCUUCCAUGAAGCCUUCCCUUCUUGCCUUAGCUAGUAUUAACCUUUCCUCUUCUGUUGAAGCCAAGACUGCACAAGAGCCUGACUCCGGACAGCAUUGGCAUCUCUGCCUGAAGGUUUUCUCUACCUGUGGGGAACAGACCUG
ensembl:lncRNA